ACUAAAUAGAUACCCAGGUAGUCCACGCCCUAAACGAUGACAACUGGCUAUAAGGAGUAUCGACCCUCUUUGUGGCGAAAGCUAAACGCGUUAAGUUGUCCGCCUGGGUAGUACGGCCGCAAGGCUAAAACUCAAAGGAAUAGACGGGGGACUUGCACAAGCGGUGGAUCAUGCGGCUCAAUUCGAUGACAAACGAAGAACCUCACCAGGGUUUGAAACCCAGACGAUCGCUCUAGGAAACUAGAGCUUCCGCAAGGCGGCUGGGCAGGUGAUGCAUGGUCGUCGUCAGUUCGUGGCUUGAGUUGUUCCCUUCAGUGGGGUAACGAACGCAACCCUCGUUGCCUGUUUUAAAAGUCAGGCGAGACUGCCCCCUCACGGGGGAGGAAGGUGAGGAUGACGCCAGAUCAGCAUGUCCCUCUGAUAUCCUGGGCUGCACGCAUGAUACAAUGGACGAGACAACGGGUCGCGACGGAGUAAUCCUGAGCUAAUCCUAACAACUCGUCCCCAGUUCGGAUUGAGGGCUGCAACUCGCCCUC
rnacentral:rRNA from 1 species